GGAUUAGUGGCGAACGGGUGAGUAACACGUGAGUAACCUGCCCUCCACUUUGGGAUAACUCCGAGAAAUCGGGGCUAAUACUGGAUAUGACCUUGGCCCGCAUGGGUUUGGUGGAAAGUUUUCGGUGGGGGAUGGGCUCGCGGCCUAUCAGUUUGUUGGUGAGGUAGUGGCUCACCAAGGCGAUGACGGGUAGCCGGCCUGAGAGGGCGACCGGCCACACUGGGACUGAGACACGGCCCAG
rnacentral:rRNA from 1 species